rnacentral:rRNA from 1 species
UACGUAGGGUGCGAGCGUUGUCCGGAUUUACUGGGCGUAAAGAGCGCGCAGGCGGUCGAUCAAGUCGAGUGUGAAAGCCCCCGGCUCAACUGGGAGGGGUCUUCGGAUACGGGCGGACUUGAGGAGAGCAGAGGUAGGCGGAAUUCUGGGUGUAGUGGUGAAAUGCGUAGAUAUCCAGAGGAACACCAGUGGCGAAGGCGGCCUACUGGGCUCCACCUGACACUGAGGCGCGAAAGCGUGGGGAGCGAACCGG